UGUAGCCAAAGAGAUGGCGUAUUUUUGUUACAAUUUUGAUGGGAUCACGUACCCUUGGGGUGGUUUAUACCUGGCCAUAAAGUUUUACUCAGUUUACCCCACAUGAUAUCCCUUGAGGGUAUACCCCAUAAUAGGAAAAAGUGAGAUGAGUAUACAAUGACUUAUUACACUCAGUGGGGGUAUUUUGGCUGUAGUUAAGCUAGACCAGUAAGAGGUUGAUACAUUAGUUCCAGACAGUGCGCGGUUAGACUUGAGACCGAGCACUUACUUUUUGGGGAGAGUUAAUCUUAAGGUUUAAUAAAGUCCUGUUUAGAGGUAAGAUUCUCGCGUAGACACUUUAAUACCCAAAAUGGAUGAAGCUCUGACCUUAUGAGGGAUGAACUGGGAUUAGAUACCCCACUAUUCUCCUACUUGAAAACCUAGGGUAGUAACUAGAUAUUUUCUUCAAACCCAAAGGAUUUGGCGGUGUUUAAUCUACUCAGAGGAACCUGUCUUGUAACCGUCACUACCCGUUAAAUCUCACCCUCCUCGCGCUCAUAUACCGUCAUCUUAGCACUUUCCUGAGAAGGGUGUUAAAAAGGGGGACACCGAUGUUAGAUCCAGGUGUGGCCAAUGGGAGGGGAUCAGAUGGGUUACAGUUAGCCUACUAUUGGAAACCUUGGUGAAAGAGAGGGUUGAAAUUGGAUUUGAGAGUAAUCUAUCUUUAAAAAAGGCAGAUGGAUCAGCUCUUAAACAUGUACAUAUCGCCCGUCGCUCUCAUCCUGUGAGAUAAGUCGUAACAUAGUAGUGGUAAA
rnacentral:rRNA from 1 species